rnacentral:lncRNA from 1 species
UAAUUUCAGCUAAACUCAGAAGAAAUAUAUUGAACAUCCACUGUAUGCCACAGCAGCAGAUAAACAUGAUACUGUUCUUGUCUAGAAAAUAGUUAAUAUUCAACAAAACACAAAAUACUCUGUAUAAGGGAGACUUCAAGGCCGAUUCAAAAACUGUGAAGAUGCAUCAGCAAGAGAGCCUCUUUGUACAAAUUGACAAACUAAGACCCUAUUGGGUUAAUUCCUUGCAGAAAACCACCCUAAAACUUGGACAUAAUGCAAAAAGCAACUCCCUGAAGGUACUGGAAAGAAACAGAAACAGCUUCUCUCAAAAGUGCAUAGUUUAACUUGAGGAUAAAAGAUAGAAGCUAUCUAUACUGGUGUCUGUAGCAGAACCAGCUGGAGGUAAAGGGAGAAGAGAACUCUUCCACUGAGGUGAGUUCACUAUGUAUUUUCAUCCUAGGAUCUGGGUCACUUUCUUCUUUCCCAAGUGUGCUGCUUUCAAUGGUCUGGGCUAGCACAAGCAUACCAAAUUGCUGUAUUAUAGAUGAAGACGGAGAGGCUCUAGCUAAUUUGAGUUCCUCAUUACCAUACGACUGAGGAGAUGUUUGAGCAAUCCCCCUCAUUAAGAGCAUUCCAGCAAGUGAGCAUCUUUUCACUCCUCCAUUUCGUGAUGACUUUAAGACCACCAGAGAAGAAGAAAGAAUAAGGAAGUCACAGUAGAUGGGACAUAGGACUACUUUUCGUUGUUCUUCCACCAUGUUUUACAUUCUCUCUCAGCCAGCCUGCCUGCCAGCAGCCCUGGAUACCUCUAAAUCCCUGAAGCUGGACAUAGCAGUUCAGUUUGAGAGGCUCGCUGAGAUAUCUUCAAUGUGGAAGAGCCAUCGGAAGAGGAUGCUUAGAAAAACAGGAAAUUCUCCUUCUAAAUACAAGCUGAAUUAGAACAACUCAAACAUUCAGCAGCUGCCGGAUAUUCACAUUAGAUUGAACACUCUGCUCUUCGCCACCCUUUCAAAUUUGGCAAACAUGUUUUUAAGGUACUUCAGACAAUCCAAGGCAUGCUUACCAGCGUUUUCCAAUCAGAGUAACUUCCUUUAUUAUGCCCCAUAGAAAAAAGAACUAUCCCAUAAGUUCAUGUUCAAAAAAAAAAAAAAAAAAGCAUACCACCUUAGGCUAGAAGAAACCUCCAACUGUCACAUAUUUCAUCUGUGUUACUCACUGACUGUUCAAAUCAGCUGUGCCCCUGCCAAGAGGUCUGCUAGACUCGCACUGUCCAAUAAGGAGUCACUAGCCACGUAUGGGUGUUUACAUUUAAAUUAAUGAAAAUAAAGUAAAAUAAAUAUCCA